GGCCUGGUGGCUCAGCGGUAGAGCGUUUCCUUUCAGUGGAAAAGGUCCUCGGUUCGAAUCCGAGCGAGGCCA
rnacentral:tRNA from 1 species